rnacentral:rRNA from 1 species
AAGGUAGCGAAAUUCCUUGUCGGGUAAGUUCCGACCUGCACGAAUGGCGUAACGAUCUCCACACUGUCUCGGCCAGAGACUCGGUGAAAUUGAAGUCGCGGUGAAAAUGCCGUGUACCCGCAGAAAGACGGAAAGACCCUGUGCACCUUUACUAUAGCUUGACAUUGGGAUUUGAGCCUGCAUGUGUAGCAUAGGUGGGAGGCUGUGAACUCUGUACGCCAGUAUGGAGGGAGCCAUCGUUGAAAUACCACCCUUGUUUGUUCAGGUCCCUAACUCUUCGCCGUGAUCCGGUAAGAGGACAGUGUCUGGUGGGUAGUUUGACUGGGGCGGUCGCCUCCCAAAAUGUAACGGAGGCAUGCAAAGGUUCCCUCAGGCUGAUUGGAAACCAGCCGUCGAGUGCAAACGCAAAAGGGAGCUUGACUGCAAGAGAGACAUCUCGAGCAGGUACGAAAGUAGGUGUUAGUGAUCCGGUGAUCCCGAAUGGAAGGGUCAUCGCUCAUUGGAUAAAAGGUACGCCGGGGAUAACAGGCUGAUCGCAUCCAAGAGUUCACAUCGACGAUGCGGUUUGGCACCUCGAUGUCGGCUCAUCACAUCCUGGGGCUGAAGCAGGUCCCAAGGGUACGGCUGUUCGCCGUUUAAAGUGGUACGCGAGCUGGGUUUAAAACGUCGUGAGACAGUUUGGUCCCUAUCUUCUGUGGGCGUAGGAGAAUUGAAAGGGCCUGUCCCUAGUACGAGAGGACCGGGAUGGACACACCACUGGUGGACCUGUUGUCGUGCCAACGGCACAGCAGGGUAGCUAUGUGUGGAAGGGAUAACCGCUGAAAGCAUCUAAGCGGGAAGCCUGCCUUAAGAUAAGUUCUCCCUGACGCAAGUCCUGAAGGGCCGAGGUAGACGACCUCGUUGAUAGGCUGGAGGUGGAAGCCCUGUGAGGGGUGGAGCUGACCAGUACUAAUAGCCCGUGCGUCUUGUUUUU